GCCCUCGCACCCCCACCCCCUCCCCAGCCACUUCCGGCAGGCGCUGCGCUGCUGGGGGGUGCGGGUGAGGAUGGCGGCGGAGAGCGAAGCCAGCCAGGAAAGCGCCCUGGGCGCCUACUCGCCGGUGGACUACAUGAGCAUCACCAGCUUCCCGCGACUUCCCGAGGACGAGCCGGCGCCUGCAGCCCCGCUGAGGAGCCAUAAGGAUGAGGACGCCUUCCUGGGAGAUCCUGAUACCGACCCAGACUCCUUCCUGAAGUCCGCUCGGCUGCAGCGGCUGCCGUCGUCGUCCUCGGAAAUGGGCAGCCAGGAUGGGUCGCCGCUCCGCGAGACGCGCAAAGACCCCUUCUCGGCGGCCGCUGCCGAGUGCUCCUGCCGGCAGGACGGGCUCACAGUCAUCGUCACCGCCUGCCUCACCUUUGCCACAGGUGUCACCGUGGCACUUGUCAUGCAGAUCUACUUUGGGGAUGCCCAGAUCUUUCAGCAGGGUGCUGUGGUGACCGAUGCCGCCCGCUGCACUUCUCUGGGAAUGGAGGUGCUCAGUAAACAGGGAUCAUCUUCCGUGGAUGCAGCUGUGGCAGCAGCCUUGUGUUUGGGAAUCGUGGCUCCGCACAGUUCAGGCCUAGGCGGUGGGGGUGUGAUGCUGAUCCAUGACAUCCGACAAAAUGAGAGCCACCUAAUUGAUUUCCGGGAGUCUGCACCAGGGGCCCUCAGGGAAGAGGCUCUACAAAGGUCCUGGGAGACCAAGGAUUCUCCUUCCCAGGAACCCCCCUCCCCCCAGGACCCUUCCUCCUCCCCCCAGGACCUCCUCCACCCCCUGCUCUCCGGCCCCCCCAGGCUGCCAUGGUCCCAAGUCCUGGCCUUCGCAGCAGCUGUGGCCCAAGAUGGCUUCAACGUGACCCAUGAUCUAGCCCGUGCCUUGGCUGAGCAGCUGCCUCCCAACGCAUCGGAGCGCUUCCUGGAGACAUUCCUGCCAUUGGGCCACCCACCACUGCCCGGCUCCUUGCUGCGCAGGCCUGACCUGGCUGAGGUGCUGGAUGCCCUUGGCACCUCCGGUCCUUCUGUCUUCUAUGGUGGUGGCAACCUCACGCUAGAGAUGGUAGCUGAGGCUCAGCAUGCAGGGGGUGUCAUUACUGAAGAGGACUUCAGCAACUACAGCGCUCUCGUGGAGAAGCCCGUGUGUGGCGUGUACAGAGGUCACCUGGUUCUCAGUCCCCCACCACCACACACAGGCCCAGCUCUCAUCAGUGCUCUCAACAUCCUGGAGGGCUUCAAUCUCACCAGCCUGGUAUCCCGAGAGCAAGCUCUUCACUGGGUGGCAGAGACCCUGAAGAUCGCAUUAGCCCUGGCCAGCAGACUGGGAGAUCCUAUCUAUGAUUCUACCAUCACUGAGAGCACAGACGAUAUGCUCAGCAAGGUGGAGGCCACCUACUUCCGGGGUCACAUCAAUGACUCCCAGGCAACCCCUGCCCCGCUCCUGCCUGUCUAUGAGUUGGAUGGGGCUCCUACAGCUGCCCAGGUGCUGAUUAUGGGCCCUGAUGACUUAAUUGUGGCCAUGGUCAGCUCCCUGAACCGGCCCUUUGGCAGUGGCCUCAUCACCCCCUCAGGAAUCCUGCUCAACAGCCAGAUGCUGGACUUUUCUUGGCCCAACAGGACUGCUAACCACUCUGCACACAACUUGGAGAACUCAGUGCAGCCAGGGAAGCGGCCGCUCUCUUUUCUGCUGCCCACUGUGGUCCGACCAGCAGAGGGGCUCUGUGGGACCUAUCUUGCCCUGGGGGCCAAUGGAGCUGCCCGAGGUCUCAGCGGCCUGACCCAGGAGAAAUCGCAGGGCCGGUAGAAUUGAAAAGUGAUAAAGCAUCUGGGCUGCCUGUGUUGUGUCAACUUCAAGUCCCAUCAUCCCUUUAUCCUCCAUCUGAGUAGACAACCAGCCUUCUUUAGGGUCUGCCACUCUCCAGAAUACCUCGGAACAGGUAUUCACAGGGUGCGAUGAACCUGUCAAUCUACCUAUCUAUCUGGCACGUAUUUUGGCAGGUGGUGAGUUAACUUUGGAAUCAGACACCUGGGUUACAUCCCAAAUGCUGCCAAUUUCCAACCAUGUGAUGCAGGGGAACUCUGUCAACCUCUCGGAACCUCAGUAUCCCAUCUCUCAAGUGGAAGUUAUAGCAAUAAUUAACAUUAAUAGAGUUCUUACCAACUUCUGGGUACUUUUAAGCUUCCUAACUCUGGAAAGAAUGAAUGCUUCUAUUUUACAGAUGAGAAAAAUGAAGCCCAGAGAGGUUAAGAAGUUAGGUCAAGUUCCUUCAGCUAAAGUGGGCAAGAAGCUCAGUUCCAGAGUCUAGUCACACUCAGCCAGUUCUGCUAAAUAUCCUGACCUUGAAUCGGAAUCUAAGUGACAGCCUGGCCCGAGGCCGCCUACAUCCAGACCUACAGUCCAAUCUCCUGCAGGUGGACAGUGAGU